AAAUCGUCAGUAGGACAAGAAAAGUAGAUCGGCAUGAAGGAGCCACACGCGUAAGAAACAGUGACGACUAACGCGCCCCCUAAGGACGAGGAGGGAAAAUUUUAACAAUGAAAGCUGAAAUUUCGAUAAAGAAUCAACUCUUGGCAGCGGGCAGCAGGGCGG